GUCGAGCGGUAACAUUUCUAGCUUGCUAGAAGAUGACGAGCGGCGGACGGGUGAGUAAUGCUUGGGAAUAUGCCUUAUGGUGGGGGACAACAGUUGGAAACGACUGCUAAUACCGCAUAAUGUCUACGGACCAAAGGGGGGGAUCUUCGGACCUCUCGCCAUUUGAUUAGCCCAAGUGAGAUUAGCUAGUUGGUGAGGUAAUGGCUCACCAAGGCGACGAUCUCUAGCUGGUUUGAGAGGAUGAUCAGCCACACUGGGACUGAGACACGGCCCAGACUCCUACGGGAGGCAGCAGUGGGGAAUAUUGCACAAUGGGCGCAAGCCUGAUGCAGCCAUGCCGCGUGUGUGAAGAAGGCCUUCGGAUUGUAAAGCUCUUUCGACGGGGAAGAUAAUGACGGUACCCGUAGAAGAAGCCCCGGCUAACUUCGUGCCAGCAGCCGCGGUAAUACGAAGGGGGCUAGCGUUGUUCGGAUUUACUGGGCGUAAAGCGUGCGUAGGCGGCUUGUCAAGUCAGAAGUGAAAGCCCGGGGCUCAACUCCGGAACUGCUUUUGAGACUGGCAGGCUUGAGUUCGGGAGAGGGUAGUGGAAUUCCCAGUGUAGAGGUGAAAUUCGUAGAUA
rnacentral:rRNA from 1 species